AUUGAACGCUGGCGGCAGGCCUAACACAUGCAAGUCGAACGGUAACAGGAAACAGCUUGCUGUUUCGCUGACGAGUGGCGGACGGGUGAGAAAUGUCUGGGAAACUGCCUGAUGGAGGGGGAUAACUACUGGAAACGGUAGCUAAUACCGCAUAACGUCGCAAGACCAAAGAGGGGGACCCUCGGGCCUCUUGCCAUCGGAUGUGCCCUGAUGGGAUUAGCUUGUUGGUGGGGUAACGGCUCACCAAGGCGACGAUCCCUAGCUGGUCUGAGAGGAUGACCAGCCACACUGGAACUGAGACACGGUCCAGACUCCUACGGGAGGCAGCAGUGGGGAAUAUUGCACAAUGGGCGCAAGCCUGAUGCAGCCAUGCCGCGUGUAUGAAGAAGGCCUUCGGGUUGUAAAGUACUUUCAGCGGGGAGGAAGGGAGUAAAGUUAAUACCUUCGCUCAUUGACGUUACCCGCAGAAGAAGCACCGGCUAACUCCGUG
rnacentral:rRNA from 1 species